rnacentral:rRNA from 1 species
CAGAUGAGAAGCUUGCUUCUCUGAUGUUAGCGGCGGACGGGUGAGUAACACGUGGGUAACCUACCUAUAAGACUGGGAUAACUCCGGGAAACCGGGGCUAAUACCGGAUAAUAUUUUGAACCGCAUGGUUCAAUAGUGAAAGACGGUUUCGGCUGUCACUUAUAGAUGGACCCGCGCCGUAUUAGCUAGUUGGUAAGGUAACGGCUUACCAAGGCGACGAUACGUAGCCGACCUGAGAGGGUGAUCGGCCACACUGGAACUGAGACACGGUCCAGACUCCUACGGGAGGCAGCAGUAGGGAAUCUUCCGCAAUGGGCGAAAGCCUGACGGAGCAACGCCGCGUGAGUGAUGAAGGUCUUCGGAUCGUAAAACUCUGUUGUUAGGGAAGAACAAAUUUGUUAGUAACUGAACAAGUCUUGACGGUACCUAACCAGAAAGCCACGGCUAACUACGUGCCAGCAGCCGCGGUAAUACGUAGGUGGCAAGCGUUAUCCGGAAUUAUUGGGCGUAAAGCGCGCGUAGGCGGUUUCUUAAGUCUGAUGUGAAAGCCCACGGCUCAACCGUGGAGGGUCAUUGGAAACUGGGAAACUUGAGUGCAGAAGAGGAGAGUGGAAUUCCAUGUGUAGCGGUGAAAUGCGCAAAGAUAUGGAGGAACACCAGUGGCGAAGGCGGCUCUCUGGUCUGUAACUGACGCUGAUGUG